GCCUUCUUAGCUCAGUGGUAGAGCGUUGCACUCGUAUUCAUGAACGACAGAAGCAUUGAUUAUGCAAAGGCCGCUAGUUCAAGUCUGGCAGGAGGCA
rnacentral:tRNA from 1 species